CUCACGGACUAUACCAUCCUAAAAUCACCUGAUUUCACUGAAUCUUGGAAGCUAAGCAAGGUUGGUCCCUGUUAUCAUUUGGAUGGGCAAAAUGGCUUACUGUCCUGUAUAAUGUUUAUGUGC
rnacentral:rRNA from 1 species